UACGUAGGGGGCAAGCGUUGUCCGGAUUUAUUGGGCGUAAAGAGCGUGUAGGCGGUUAGGUAGGUCCGUCGUGAAAACUCGAGGCUCAACCUCGAGACGCCGAUGGAAACCAUCUAACUAGAGUCCGGAAGAGGAGAGUGGAAUUCCUGGUGUAGCGGUGAAAUGCGCAGAUAUCAGGAAGAACACCCGUGGCGAAGGCGGCUCUCUGGGACGGUACUGACGCUGAGACGCGAAAGCGUGGGGAGCGAACAGG
rnacentral:rRNA from 1 species